UACGUAGGGGGCGAGCGUUGUCCGAAGUUACUGGGCGUAAAGAGUACGUAGGUGGCUUGUUAAGAUACAUCUGAAAGGUGACAGCUCAACUGUCAAUGGUGGUGUAAGACUGGCAGGCUUGAGGCAAGCAGAAGAGUGUGGAACUCCGAGUGUAGCGGUGGAAUGCGUAGAGAUUCGGAAGAACACCCAUGGCGAAGGCAGCACUCUGGGCUUGAACCGCAAGGUGAACCUGACACUGAGGUACGAAAGCCAGGGGGAGCGAAACGGG
rnacentral:rRNA from 1 species